rnacentral:rRNA from 1 species
AUUGAACGCUGGCGGCAGGCUUAACACAUGCAAGUCGAGCGGGGUGAUGGUGCUUGCACUAUCACUUAGCGGCGGACGGGUGAGUAAUGCUUAGGAAUCUGCCUAUUAGUGGGGGACAACAUCUCGAAAGGGAUGCUAAUACCGCAUACGUCCUACGGGAGAAAGCAGGGGAUCACCUGUGACCUUGCGCUAAUAGAUGAGCCUAAGUCGGAUUAGCUAGUUGGUGGGGUAAAGGCCUACCAAGGCGACGAUCUGUAGCGGGUCUGAGAGGAUGAUCCGCGACACUGGGACUGAGACACGGCCCAGAGUCCUACGGGGGGCAGCAGGGGGGAAUAUUGGACAAUGGGGGGAACCCUGAUCCAGCCAUGCCGCGUGUGUGAAGAAGGCCUUAUGGUUGUAAAGCACUUUAAGCGAGGAGGAGGCUCUUUUGGUUAAUACCCAAGAUGAGUGGACGUUACUCGCAGAAUAAGCACCGGCUAACUCUGUGCCAGUCGCCGCGGUAA